AUUUGGGAAGGUGAUUCUGGUGCGAGAGAAAGCCAGCGGCACAUAUUAUGCAAUGAAGAUCCUGAGAAAGGAGGUUAUUGUUGCCAAGGAUGAAGUUGCUCACACACUCACCGAGAGCAGAGUUCUGAAGAACACUAGGCAUCCGUUUCUAACUUCACUGAAGUACUCAUUUCAGACGAAGGAUCGUUUAUGUUUUGUUAUGGAGUAUGUGAAUGGAGGAGAG